rnacentral:rRNA from 1 species
AUUGAACGCUGGCGGCAGGCCUAACACAUGCAAGUCGAACGAGUGGCGGACGGGUGAGUAAUGUCUGGGAAACUGCCUGAUGGAGGGGGAUAACUACUGGAAACGGUAGCUAAUACCUCAUACCAUAAGUUGUGCCCAGAUGGGAUUAGCUAGUUGGUGGGGUAACGGCUCACCAAGGCGACGAUCCCUAGCUGGUCAGAGGAGAUGACCAGCCAAUCUGAGACUGAGACACGGUCCAGACUCCUACGGGAGGCAGCAGUGGGGAAUAUUGUGCAAUGGGCGCAAGCCUGAUGCAGCCAUGCCGCGUGUAUGAAGAAGGCCUUCGGGUUGUAAAGUACUUUCAGCGGGGAGGCGUUACCCGCAGAAGAAGCACCGGCUAACUCCGUGCCAGCCGCCGCGGUAAUAC